rnacentral:rRNA from 1 species
GUGAUCUAGCCAUGGGCAGGUUGAAGGUUGGGUAACACUAACUGGAGGACCGAACCGACUAAUGUUGAAAAAUUAGCGGAUGACUUGUGGCUGGGGGUGAAAGGCCAAUCAAACCGGGAGAUAGCUGGUUCUCCCCGAAAGCUAUUUAGGUAGCGCCUCGUGAACUCAUCUUCGGGGGUAGAGCACUGUUUCGGCUAGGGGGUCAUCCCGACUUACCAACCCGAUGCAAACUACGAAUACCGAAGAAUGUUAUCACGGGAGACACACGGCGGGUGCUAACGUCCGUCGUGAAGAGGGAAACAACCCAGACCGCCAGCUAAGGUCCCAAA